AAUAUGUUUUUUUGACGGCUUCAAUAAACACAAAAUACAGAAUAUAUAACAGAGAAACCCACAUAUAAAAACCAUAUUAAAUUUUAUUGUAGUAAACAUCAAUUAAGUCAAGUUAUACGACAAUCCCCUGAAGUGAGCUACGGUUUUGGGAAUACACCCGGCGUACCUUAAGGAAUCCAGUAGCAGCAACGAUGGAUCCGACGGAUGGAUGGAGGACGACGACGCAGUCGCUCGGAUUCGCCGUCACCGUCGGCAGGCAGCCGUGAUGGGAGCUCGACUCCUGGUCGGCAGCCGCAGUCGUGCGUUGUCCUUUGCUGCUGUCGGUUGUGUCCGCGCCAUCCGGUGACUGUAUCCUCCAGUGGUUAUCCUGAAUCAGGGCCCUCGACUUUCGCGGAGCCAGCUCGACAGCACACACCUGUGCGCUACCGUCAGUCCUCCGCCUGGCAACGACACAAAUUUGCCUGGCGCGGAUUUCUUCGCGUGUGCCAGUGCCCUCCACUCCACUUCACUUCACUGUCUGUUGGAGGGCAGGAAGAACAAGAAAUAACCGCUAAGUGUUUUACAACUUGAAGGCGUUAAGUUGGCCAUCCUGGGCUCUCCAAGUUUUCCAUGUCCCAUCUCGCGGGUCUUAGGCCAGAAUGGCAAACAAAAAUCUGUGUAAGCAGCUUUGCUGGCGGCUUGAUAAAAAAGAGGGAAAACGAAUGAAAAACCCGCUGGCCAUCAGCUUGUCAAUGGUUUGGGGUCCCUUUUUGGUCAUAGUUGCCUUAUUGAAUUUUAAAGAUCGCGCAAAGUAUGCCGUUUUACAUGCAUAAUGAGGCCACUAUAGUGGCUAUGGCUGGGAAAGUGAAAACGUGAUGGCAUGGCAGGAACAUAAAUUAAAACUUUGCCUUUUAACUCAAUGAACAACUUGGUGUGCGCAAAAAAAAAAAAAAAUGGAAAAACAGUGAAAGUUAUUUACUAUUUUUAAUGAAAAGUUAUUUGUAAUUACGUACUCAAACUAGCACUAAUUAGCGCGACUUUUUAACAUUCCGUGUUUGCACAAAGUUCGCGGAAUUAAUCCAGGCUAUAAAGUCAACUGUAGAUUAGCAUAAUUCUGAUUGGAUUUUCAGCUUCCACAAAAAACAUCUUGAUCGUAUUUAUUUGCAUUCCGACAAGCAUAAAUGAUGCAAGUAUUUUUCUUCAAUCAACCAAAAAAAUACGGUACAGUCACUUAAUUAAAUAAAAAUAAAUAGACUCAACAUACAAGCAAAACCACUUGAAGUGCCUGCUCGAAUUUGCAGGGCUACAUGUGGCAUACUUUCCAUAAGAUGUCCCCAGGGCGUCCACGGAUCUCGCCAGGAUUCGUUGAUGUAGGCUCUUAUGCUCCACUCGGCGGUUCAGCGAACUGCGCCCAAGGUCCUGCCACUUGUCAGCAGGAGGGAUUACUCCGUCCGCGCUGCUUUGCUGCCCACAUUUCAUUGUUUGUCAGCAUUUACAUGUCCUUUUCUCCCGGCCACUCCUGCUGUGAAUGUGUGUGUGAGUGUGAGUAAUGGCCGCGACAUUUUGUUGUUUCCUUGUUAGCCACGCAUAAAUUUUAAUAGUUUUCCUAUGCUCCAAGUGGGCCGCCCGCUGCUUUCUCCUACUUUCUCCUCUCGUUACCACCAACUUUCACCUGCCCACGUUGGCUACGCUUGCUUUCGAGUGGCUAAAAAUAAAGCCCGGAAUGCCGAGGAGCUUAUCCUUGCCUUGAGCUGUUCAAAAUGGAAUUAUUAAUAUUUCACAUACCGAAAUAUAGACAUGACCGACUGAAAAUGCUUUCCACACACGGCUGGCUGUGCGUCUUUCUCCCCGAGCUUUCUCCCAAUUUCUCUUUUAUUCAUACACAUGACGGUUGUUUAUUCGCGCAUCAGGACUCGUGAGCCUGUUUAAUCAUAACGAAAUGCGGUUCACCCAUAUACAUAUACGAAUGAACAUGUAUGUAUAUACACAAAAUGCGGGGGAGGUGCGUGUGUGGGCAUGGAUUUCCAUUAGCGCAUUUCAUUUUAAUUAAACUGGCAACUGUCACGUAGUCGAUCGAUUUCUUAGGCAUUAGGCCAGUAAUUUGGUUU